rnacentral:rRNA from 1 species
AAGGAUCAAGCGUCUGAAGGGCAUCUGGUGGAUGCCUUGGCACUGAGAGGCGAUGAAGGACGCAGCACGUUGCGAUAAGCCAUGGGGAGCCGCGAGCAGGCUUUGAUCCGUGGAUUUCCGAAUGGGGCAACCCACCGCGCAAGCGGUAUCCCAUGCUGAAUUCAUAGGCAUGGGAGGCGAACCCGGCGAACUGAAACAUCUAAGUAGCCGGAGGAAAGGACAUCAACCGAGACUCCGCUAGUAGUGGCGAGCGAACGCGGACCAGGCCAGUGGUUGGACCGACAUAACCGGAAGCGUCUGGAAAGGCGCACCAGAGCGGGUGAUAGUCCCGUACGGGUAAACCAGGUUCAAUCCUCGAGUAGGGCGGGGCACGUGAAACCCUGUCCGAACAUGGGGGGACCACCCUCCAAGCCUAAGUACUCCUCAGUGACCGAUAGUGCACCAGUACCGUGAGGGAAAGGUGAAAAGCACCCCGACGAGGGGAGUGAAACAGUUCCUGAAACCGGAUGCCUACAAGCAGUCGGAGCCGCCUUGCGCGGUGACGGCGUACCUUUUGUAUAAUGGGUCAGCGACUUACAGUAAGCAGCGAGCUUAAGGCGAUAGCCGGAGGCGCAGCGAAAGCGAGUCUGAA